UAUCAAAUACCUAAUUACUGUAGAGAUUGUUGAUUUCUUUUUAUUAAUGACACAGUAAAACAGACACUAACUCUCUGGACACCGAAGAUGACUCCUAUUUAGAUAUUUAUUCACCUUUGUUAAAUAUGUAAAUGUGUCUGCACCGACACUAAGAUGUGAGAACAGCUUUUCAGAUAAAAAAAAAUGCAUCACUGGAUUAUUAUUUGCUUGGAAUGUUGGUGCAUCCUUAUUUAACAGGUUCAUUUAUACAAGGAAUUGUAGUUUCUCCUACAGGACAAGAUACCGGUAGCGAAACACCAGACAGCAGUGCCACAAGCUCAGUGGAGCUCAUUCCCUCAAUGUGUGAGGCCUCCAGUGGUGACAGACUACCAGAUGAGUAUGUACUAACGAAGCUGGGCCAGAAGACUAAAAAAGAGAGCUACUGAACAGCUAAUGUUUUAAAGCACAUUCAAAAUAAUUAAUGCAAACACAGUUAAUUAUGUACACCUAAUGAUCACGUAGCAAACAAGAGUGCAACAUGGGUAUAAAAAGUGCAUUCUGAAAGUUUCUCUUGAGCAGGGAUGCACACGUGACAUUGCAGUGCUUUGCCAUCACGAAAUGUUGAAUUACUACUGAGAAAACAUUUUCCUUUAUUUCUUUAUUUUUCUGUUAAACUGAUGUGGCAUUUGUUCAGAGACUGAUAUUCACAAACAUAAUGAAAAUAUUGUUAGAUCUAAUAUUGUACUUGCAGAUUUUUUAUAUAGGUCUCUCUUAGAGGACACUGAGAGACAGAGGAGCAGAACACAGAUAUGCAAUAUACAUGGCAAACAUUAAUUACACUAAUAGUGGAACAUUACACAAACCAAGCAUGGAAGUGACAGUAAGGGGUUUGGGUAUAGAACAAGUGUCAUUGAAUAUCAUAGGCUGAAACAACGAGAAAUCUGUGCACAGAUCAAAUGUCCACUCCUUGUUUUUUUUCUCCAUUGUUGUUUAAUUGUAACUUUAUAUAUACAUAUAUGUUUUAUGUAUAGAUACUUAUCUCUGUUGUCUGACUUCCUGAUGUAGGGCUGUUUGGGCUGAUUUGGUGCUAUUUAAUAUGUAUUGCUGCAAUAAAGUGUUUAUUUCUUUGUUUGUUUGCUUGUUU
ensembl:lncRNA